rnacentral:tRNA from 1 species
GGUCUCGUAGCUCAGUUGGUAGAGCAGAGCCCUGAAAAGGCUUGUGUCGCUGGUUCAAUUCCAGCCGAGACCA